GAUGAAGAACGUAGCGAAAUGCGAUAAGUAAUGUGAAUUGCAGAAUUCAGUGAAUCAUCGAAUCUUUGAACGCACAUUGCGCCCCCUGGUAUUCCGGGGGGCAUGCCUGUUCGAGCGUCAUUUCACCACUCAAGCCUCGCUUGGUAUUGGGCAACGCGGUCCGCCGCGUGCCUCAAAUCGACCGGCUGGGUCUUCUGUCCCCUAAGCGUUGUGGAAACUAUUCGCUAAAGGGUGUUCGGGAGGCUACGCCGUAAAACAACCCCAUUUCUAAGGUUGACCUCGGAUCAGGUAGGGAUACCCGCUGAAUUUAAGCAUAUCAAUAAGCGGAGGA
rnacentral:misc_RNA from 1 species